CAGCAACCGCGGUUAUACAAAUAAUACAAAUAAAAUUUAUUAGUAAUAGUUAGUUUGUUAUUUUUUUUUAUAAAUUUAAUUUAAAUUUUUUAAGUGAAAUUUUAAAUUUAAUUACAUUUUUAUAUUUAAUGAAGCUAGAAAAUUUUAAUUAUAAACUAGGAUUAGAUACCCUAUUAUUUAAAAUGUAAAUAUUUAUACUAGAGUAGUAAUAGUUAUGAUCUUCAAACUUAAAGAAUUUGGCGGUGUUUUAGUCUAUUUAGAGGAACCUGUCCUGUAAUCGAUAAUCCCCGUUGGACCUUACUAAGGUUUGUUUUCAAUUUGUAUAUCGCCGUUAUCAGAAUAUCUUAAAAGAGCAAUAAUUUUCUUAAUUUAAAAAUAUAAUUGAUGUCAGGUCAAGGUGCAGUUUAUGCUUUAGUAGAGAUGGGUUACAAUAAAUUUAUUUAUACGUUAAAUUGUCUGAAAUGAUGAUUUUAAGGUGGAUUUAAAAGUAAAAUAACUGAAU
rnacentral:rRNA from 1 species